CUCCUCUCAGGGUCACACCUGGAGAGUUUCCAGUACUCUACCAGUCUCGAUUAUGGGAGGGAAAGUCAAGCAGAGGCAUAGCCAUUCUAUUCCUAGCUUGGACAGUGGCUAGUCAGUUGAAGGCAAUCUGCUACAAGU